UACGAAGGGGGCUAGCGUUGCUCGGAAUCACUGGGCGUAAAGCGCACGUAGGCGGAUCUUUAAGUCAGGGGUGAAAUCCCGGAGCUCAACUCCGGAACUGCCUUUGAUACUGGGGAUCUUGAGUUCGGGAGAGGUGAGUGGAACUGCGAGUGUAGAGGUGAAAUUCGUAGAUAUUCGCAAGAACACCAGUGGCGAAGGCGGCUCACUGGCCCGAUACUGACGCUGAGGCACGAAAGCGUGGGGAGCAACAGGG
rnacentral:rRNA from 1 species